rnacentral:rRNA from 1 species
CUCGUAGGCGGUUCGUCGCGUCCGGUGUGAAAGUCCCAUCGCUUAACGGUGGAUCCGCGCCGGGUACGGGCGGGCUUGAGUGCGGUAGGGGAGACUGGAAUUCCCGGUGUAACGGUGGAAUGUGUAGAUAUCGGGAAGAACACCAAUGGCGAAGGCAGGUCUCUGGGCCGUCACUGACGCUGAGGAGCGAAAGCGUGGGGAGCGAACA